rnacentral:rRNA from 1 species
GAUGAACGCUAGCGGCAGGCUUAACACAUGCAAGUCGAGGGGUAACAGGGAGUGCUUGCACUCCGCUGACGACCGGCGCACGGGUGCGUAACGCGUAUGCAACCUACCUUUCACAGGGGGAUAGUCAAGAGAAAUUUUGAAUAAUACCCCAUACGUUCUUUUAAUAGCAUUUUUAAAAGAAGAAAAUUUCGGUGGUGAAAGAUGGGCAUGCGUCCUAUUAGCUAGAUGGUGAGGUAAUGGCUCACCAUGGCAACGAUAGGUAGGGGUCCUGAGAGGGAGAUCCCCCACACUGGUACUGAGACACGGACCAGACUCCUACGGGAGGCAGCAGUGAGGAAUAUUGGACAAUGGAGGCAACUCUGAUCCAGCCAUGCCGCGUGCAGGAAGACGGCCCUAUGGGUUGUAAACUGCUUUUAUACAGGAAGAAACCGCUCGACGUGUCGAGCUCUGACGGUACUGUACGAAUAAGGAUCGGCUAACUCCG